GCUCAAGUAAUUUAAUGGCAGAAUACAACUCUUACUCAGUUGGUACGAGGGUUCGAUUCCCUUCUUGAGCU
rnacentral:tRNA from 1 species